CCAGGUUGAUUCUGCCUGACGUAGACGCUAUUCCCUAAGAUUAACCCAUGCAUGUUUUUGACAUUUGAAAAAUGGACUGCUCAGUAAUACUCACUUUAUUUUAUGUAUAUUUGAAAUUUACUACGUUAAAGUGUAGAUAAGAUGUGUACAGUAAGAGUGAGACCUAUCAGCUAGUUGUUAAGGUAAUGGCUUAACAAGGCAGUGACGGGUAACGGUAUUACUUUGUAAUAUUCCGGAGAAGGAGCCUGAGAGACGGCUACUAAGUCUAAGGAUUGCAGCAGGGGCGAAACUUGACCUAUGGAUUUUAUCUGAGGCAGUUAUGGGAAGUAAUAUUAUAUUGUUUCAUAUUGUAAAAGUAUAUGAGGUGAUUAAUUGGAGGGCAAAUCAAGUGCCAGCAGCCGCGGUAAUACUUGUUCCAAGAGUGUGUAUGAUGAUUGAUGCAGUUAAAAAGUCCGUAGUUUAUUUUUAAGAAGCAAUAUGAGGUGUACUGUAUAGUUGGGAGAAAGAUGAAAUGUGACGACCCUGACUGGACGAACA
rnacentral:rRNA from 1 species